GACGUAAGUGGCUAGCGUUGUUCGGAAUCACUGGGCAUAAAGGGCGCGUAGGCGGCGCUGUACGUCAGGGGUGAAAUCCCCCGGCUCAACCGGGGAAUAGCCCCUGAAACUGCAGUGCUCGAGGCCGCGAGAGGAGCGUGGAACUCUUGGUGGAGCGGUGAAAUGCGUAGAUAUCAAGAGGAACGCCGGAGGCGAAAGCGACGCUCUGGUGCGGUACUGACGCUGAGGCGCGAAAGCUAGGGGAGCGAACGGG
rnacentral:rRNA from 1 species